CAUCCAACGUGGGACCUGAACUCUAGACCACGAGAUCGAGAGUUGCAUGCUACACCAACUAAGCCAGCCAGGCGCCCCGAAAGUUUAAACUACUAACAUGGAUAAACCUCAAAAAAUAGAGAUGCUGCGAGAGGAAAAUCAAGUUACAUGACAUACACAGCGUGGCAUUUAUAUCAAGUCUUUGAAUACGGAGAGCAAGAUAAUGUGCUGCGUAUGGAACUUAGGAGGCUGUGCAGUAGAACAGUUAAGAACCCAGGCAUUCAUGCCCAACUGUCUGGGUCAAACCUCUGUGCCACAUCUUAACUGUGGUGACACUGGACAACUUAUGUGACUCUCUUUACCUUAUUUUUUAAUAAGUAGAGUGGAGAUAACUACCUACCCUCAUAAGAUUGUUGUGGAGAAAAAGCCCUAAAUGCACACAAACAGUGCCUGGCUGUUUAUGUGACCCAUUAUGGUCUUUAUAGACAAACAAAAGCCCUAAAACUCUUAAACCAAGCACAAGAAUGACAUCUGGACCUAAAACCACCCUUAUUCCUGGGGAAGGGAAACAAAUGCAAACGGCAGAGCUCUCAGAGGACUAGGAACCAGCACCCACAAAGGCUGCUAGUACCAAAUGUAACCUCUCUCCUCCUCACUGUGAUUCUCAUUUGAAAUGAAAAAUUGGGAAAAUAAAAGCAGAUUAAGGUUUAGAUGAGUUCACUGGCAACUCUGCUGGUAUUCUUCACUGAGCAGGUAAGGCAGUCCUAACUGAAGGCCAGUUUCUGAACCCACCGAAUCCACUAACCAUCCAUUAGACCUACGGGACCCAUCCUUCAAGCAGCCCAGAGUUAGCUACACCAGGUAUACCUGGUGGUACUCAUACAACAACCAGUACCAUGUUCCAAAAUUGAGGAAGCAGCACAAAGAAACAGUAAAAGCAUAUGUCUGGAGGUGGGGCUGGGAGAGGUGAGGACUAUUUUGAGGCAAUACUGGAGGACAGUGGGCUUGUAAGAAAGGUGCCAAGAUGUUUAGGUCAAUUACCGAAUGAACUUUUCUAUUAUUACCGACCAAAACAUCAUUAUUGCACCCUCAAAAGCAACACCUGACUAUGGAAUGUACCUCCUGGAGAGGGCAAGCAUCCCUUCUCCUACCUAAUUCUGCAAGGUUGGAGCCUCGGCCCGCUGAAGGAUGCCCGGUCGGCUGCCCCACUCACCUCUUCCCCGCCCGUCACAGCCCCCUUCUUCUCCAGACUCUUCCUGAGCAGCUUCAGCAAGUAGUCCGCCCGGGUCUGCAGCUGCUUCCCCUGCGGCUUUUUAUCCGUCUCCACGGGCAGAAUCUUCAACAGGAAAGGAAGAGAAGCACCCGCCACCACCCAUGUCCCGGUUAGUGGAUCCGGAUACACAGAAACAACAAAGAACUGAGCAGUCCUUUCCCUCCCCAACCACCCGAAAUACAGAUAAAGCCUCAGAUCCUAUCUCACGUCCAUGGCUCCCGGUCACUGAAAAUCCCUCAUGAGCCGUUCUCGUUUUACAAAAUGGGAUGGAGAAAUCCAGCUCUCCCACUGGCUCCUACCUGUGCUGUUAACAGGGUAGAACAACUCAGGUAGGAGGGGCUUGUUGGCUUCAUCUGCUAGAGCAUCCCAGCCGUCGUGGAUUUCCUCCUUCCAGGAGCAGGGAAUCCCUGGAGCUAGGUUAAAGCUUCGUUUUAGAUUGAAAAUGCUUCUUAGAGCAUUGCCGGAGAGCACUGAGCUAUGCCAGGACGUGGUCCGUCCCUGCUACCACGGUGGGACCUCUCGGGCCAGACUGGAUUUGGUCUCAGUGCUUAUGGCAGGGUGCUGUCACCCUCUCAGAACACCACAUGUGGGAUGAGCAUUGUUUGACGUGCCAGGAAAAGCCCUGCCAGGAGCACAACGUGGAGCGCGUCCUACUAAAGUUUGAGCCAGUCAGCUUUCCCUGCUUACAGCUCUGAGCACGGCCUCACUGUCUGGUAGCCUGACUGCAACGGGUAGGGUGGGAGGCUCGAUUCUGUGGGAGACGUACAGCCAAGGUUUAAUCCCAUUACAAAAAACACCAAGGUGUGGCUCACUCUGUGUGCAGAAUGGAAAUAGGACUGCUUCAAAUACAGUUUUAAACAAGCGGCCAACAAUUAAGGCCGAAGAAUCCUUGUAUUAUUAAUAAUCUUACCCUGGUAUUUGUUGCAAUGACAUUUGAUGUACCUUCAAGAAGAAUUAGAAUUUUAAGAUUUCUCCUGUGAUUUCCCCAAAAUUUCACCUGGCUAUUAUCUUCAUCUAUGUAACAGUGCCCCAGUCCACCAAAGAUGGUAAUAUUCCCCAAAACAAAGAAAUCCCAGGAAUUUACUACUGUACUAAUUUCAAAUUUGAUCCCCCACCCCCCAGAAAAUAGUUAAAAAUAAGUUAUCAAAAAAUAUAUAUUAUUCAACAAAU